UACAGAGGAGCCAAGCGUUGUCCGGAUUUACUGGGCGUAAAGAGCGCGCAGGCGGUCGUUCAAGUCGCGUGUGAAAGCCCCCGGCUCAACUGGGGAGGGUCACGCGAUACUGAUCGACUGGAAGGCAGGAGAGGGUAGUGGAAUUCCCGGUGUAGUGGUGAAAUGCGUAGAUAUCGGGAGGAACACCAGUGGCGAAGGCGACUACCUGGCCUGUUCUUGACGCUGAGGCGCGAAAGCUAGGGGAGCAAACGGG
rnacentral:rRNA from 1 species